AUCCCUUCGUUGGCUACGAGAGACAAAUUCAGUUUCGUGUUUAGUGCAACCUUUGACACGUACCGGUUUAGUUCGUUGUGGCUGAGGAACAAUUGGGGUUAGAAAGUGGGUGUAAGUUUCUCUCUUCCCUUGAUUUUUAGGUCAAAAAUAUUUUGCUGUUCUAAUUUUUCUAUGUUUGUUUGUCUGAAGAUUUGCAAGGUCAAGAAAUUACGGUGGGAAUCAGAAUAUCUGGUGGCGGACCAGCUGAGAAGUAAUGGCUGCUGGACAGCUUACUUUUAACACAUGCUCUUUUGAGAUUUCUUUGGCCUAUGAGACACUGUCCAAAGAACAAAAGAAGAAACUCAUAACCACCUUCGUAUUGAAACAUAAUAAUUACGAACACCUUACUACACAGAGCAGGUAUGACCUAGCAUGCAGGGGACGAUGACACGAGGGAGAAAGGAUCACAUAGAGCAAAAAUAAAAUGAAAGCCUUAAUUUAGUCCUUAACUUAAUACCCAGUUUUCAAAUGGUUUCAAAUUGAAAGAUUUGAUCAAUUAGGUCCGACCAAUUUCAAUAUUUCUCAACAGGGUCUUUUUAUAAUUUUUUGUUAACACUUCCCC
rnacentral:lncRNA from 1 species